GAUGAACGCUGGCGGCGUGCCUAAUACAUGCAAGUCGAGCGAACGGACGAGAAGCUUGCUUCUCUGAUGUUAGCGGCGGACGGGUGAGUAACUCGUGGAUAACCUACCUAUAAGACUGGGAUAACUUCGGGAAACCGGAGCUAAUACCGGAUAAUAUUUUGAACCGCAUGGUUCAAAAGUGAAAGACGGUCUUGCUGUCACUUAUAGAUGGAUCCGCGCUGCAUUAGCUAGUUGGUAAGGUAACGGCUUACCAAGGCAACGAUGCAUAGCCGACCUGAGAGGGUGAUCGGCCACACUGGAACUGAGACACGGUCCAGACUCCUACGGGAGGCAGCAGUAGGGAAUCUUCCGCAAUGGGCGAAAGCCUGACGGAGCAACGCCGCGUGAGUGAUGAAGGUCUUCGGAUCGUAAAACUCUGUUAUUAGGGAAGAACAUAUGUGUAAGUAACUGUGCACAUCUUGACGGUACCUAAUCAGAAAGCCACGGCUAACUACGUG
rnacentral:rRNA from 1 species